AGCAAAAUCCUGGAGCUGACCCCAGGAUUCAAGAACAUUUUAUUAGUUACUGAAUUCUAUUCUUGGACCUUUAGAAAAUGGAAGCUGAAUGACACAUCAUCAUUGGCGUGUGCUAACCUCAGAUAAAAUGAGGCCUUAUGAAAUGAAGAUGAAACAAUAUUAAAUCAAGUCACAGUCUUGUAGGAAAGAAAAGAAACUGUGCAAAGUUACCCAAAAGAUUAAAAAACCCAAGGUGCUUUGUGUGCAACAACACAAAGCAACAAGCCCCCCACACUUCUGCUGAAUUCAGAAGGUAGUUAGUGUCUUCUGAAUGCAGCGAUCAAGGUUUAGGAAUACGUAGGAGAUGCCUAGAACAAAGUGGAAAAUACUGGAGCAGAGAUUUAGCUCAGAAAAUCUGAGGGGAGAAGAUUCUGUCCUUCUGAAAUCUGCCUUCUCCAGUAGCCUUACAUACUUGGACCAAUAAAACCGGUGAAAGUCACAUGGCAAGAGGAUCCACGUUUCCAAGACAGCAGUUCUGAGAGUGAUGAUGAGCCUGAACCAUCAGAAAUUGGAAAGGACCAAGAAAUGCAAGUUCCAUUUGUAUUUGUUCUCUCCUUGGUUGUCGUAGUUGGAUGCUGUGGGCAUAUUAAGAGCAGCACUCAGGAAACGGGAAACGGACAUUGCACACCUCUGAGCAGUGAAAGUCAUCUUGGAAAACCGUCUGUGCUGCACCGAGUCAAAACUCCCAGCAGCCCAUUUGAUGUGAAGCUGAAUAUGAAGAGAGAGAAGUUGAGCACAAGAAAUUAACUGGGUCGUUUUGGUUUGACCAAACCCAAACUGAGUUUGGCCAAAAGCCAAAGACACAGUCAGUUUUCUUUUAAAAAGUGGGGUUUUUAUAGAAGGCUCUGUUUGGUUACUGUGGAGUAAAGCUCUUCAAUGUUUACCAUUUCUCUGAAGCGCUGCAGCUCUAACUCGUGUUCAUGGAAUUUGAUAGUGCCUUUUAGGAUGCUAAAAUCCCUUUGUACUUGUCUAGGUUUCUUUCUUUACCACACACGGAAAGUGCUAGAGUCUUCUUCUUCUCCAAAGAUGAUGAACGCCUAAGAGGUACAACAGAACUUAUUCACCCCUUUUGUAUUUUUUUCCUUUUAAACUCUUACUGGAAUUCAGUGAGGAAAAAAUGCUGCCCGCUUAUGAAUGGUUUGUAGUCAACAUUUGCCACCCUUACUUGGGGUCUAGGUUGUGCUAGAAGCCCGUGAGGAAGUCCUGGCAAAAUAAAGGCUGAGCAGCUGUCUGGCUUUC